rnacentral:rRNA from 1 species
GAUGAACGCUAGCGGCAGGCCUAACACAUGCAAGUCGAGGGGUAGAGGUUGCUUGCAACCUUGAGACCGGCGCACGGGUGCGUAACGCGUAUGCAAUCUGCCUUGUACUGAGGGAUAGCCCAGAGAAAUUUGGAUUAAUACCUCAUAGUAUCUUUUCCCGGCAUCGGGAGAUUAUUAAAGUUCCAACGGUACAAGAUGAGCAUGCGUCCCAUUGGCUAGUUGGUAUGGUAACGGCAUACCAAGGCAAUGAUGGGUAGGGGUCCUGAGAGGGAGAGCCCCCACACUGGUACUGAGAGACGGACCAGACUCCUGCGGGAGGCAGCAGUGAGGAAUAUUGGUCAAUAGGCGCAAGCCUGAACCAGCCAUGCCGCGUGCAGGAUGAAGCAUCUAUGGUGUGUAAACUGCUUUUAUACGGGAAGAAACACCGGUUCGUGAACCGGCUUGACGGUACCGUAAGAAUAAGGAUCGGCUAACUCCGUGCCAGCCGCCGCGGUAA